CUCUCUUUGGACCUGGCCUGACCUUGUGACUUGCUUGGAUCGACAGAAUGCAGUGAAGGUGACCUUCUGGAUUUCUGAGCCUGGGCCUGGCAACUUCUGCUUCACUUCUUGGGAGCCAGCUGCUUUGAAAGAAAAUUGAGCAAGACAGCUGAAAGAUAUGUAGAGAGAGAAGCCAAGAGAGUGCCCAGCUAUUCCAGUUACACCCACAGACUCACCAAAUGUAUGAGUGAAGCCAUCUUGGACUUUCCAGCUGAGCUCCCAGCUAAAGGCAGCUGCAAGGGUGAUCCCAGCUGAUGCCAUGUGAAACAGAAGAACCAUCUACCUGAGCCCAGCCAAGUUCUGCAGUGUCUGAAGCUACAUAUGCCAGAGGCCCCUGGCUUGGGAGGGAGGAGAGCUGUUUUACUCCCAACACAACUCAGACAAAGCUAACCACGUGAUGCUGCUGCUGCUGGUGUAAGGAUCUUGGAUAAGGCUGCAUCUCCUUGGCGGAGGCACUGCAGUCCAGUGAGCAUCAGGGAAGACUGGACCACUGAUUCUCUGACUUCCUGUUGAACCACUGAUAGGAUCAAGUGGACUUGUUGGCUUAUUGGUGCUCAGAGAUAUUGAGGAUCCCCAAUAGAUCCUUUCCACAGAAUUGUGUAAAACUUCAGAACAUGUACAUUGUCAUUUAUGCUUUAUUUUGUCAAAUAAUUUUUGCCAUCUGUAUCAGAGUUGGCAAACUGUGGCCUGGGGGUCAAAUCCAGCCCACUGACUGUUUUCAUAAAGCCUGCCAGCCAAGAAUGGCUUUUAUUUAAAAAAAAAUGGUUGAAGAAUAAUCAAAAGAAGAGUAAUAUUUUAUGGCACAUGAGCAUUAUAUAAAAUUUAAAUUUCAGUGUUCACAGAUAAAGUUUUAUUGGAAGACAGCCAAGUUCAUUUGUUUACAUAUUGUCUAUGACUGCUUUCAUGACACAAUAGCAGAGUUGACGGAGACCAUGUGGCCCACAAAGCCAAAAAUAUUUACUGUCUGGUCCUUUUCAGAAAAAGUUUGCCAACCCCUUAUGUAUAUGAUGACUUCAACCUGCAAGUAUAGAAUAAAGACAGUGAGAUAACCUGCAAAGUCCUCAUGAAGAGAAAAGGCAUGCGUUGAAGAUGGCCGAAUAGGAACAACUCCAGUCUCCAACUCCCAGCGCGAGCGACACAGAAGACCGGUGAUUUCUGCAUU